AGUUCAGAGUUUAAGUCAAAAACAGAAGAAAAACAGUUAAAACAAAAUCUGAGUAGCAACAUUCUAUCAGUUUCACAUGUCAGUAAUGAGCUGACAAUCCAAAGGAUAUUCACACAGCAGAUCCCAGACCCUGAAGUGAACGCUACCUCUCUGUUUCAGAUAAUCCCAGUCUCUUUUGCACCUACAGCCAGGAAAGUUGAUAGUAAUAACACUAAAGCAAAUUCCAGAUUACUGCUUGCCACUGUGAGUGAGAACGGGGCAAUCACUAAAAAGCAAUCUCAGGCUGCUGUUGCACAUACAAUGCACUCCCAUAAUCAUACGCCGUCUUUGUCAGAGACGCAGCCUCUCAUUGCCGCCGCUGCAGGAAAAGUCACUCCUGCUGCGGAAAGACAAAGCAGAACUGAAACGCUGAGUGUGGGGCGUCCUCAGCAUCCGAUUUUUGCUCAGGCUACUGAACAAAGCCAGCACAUCCAGCCUGCUAUGACGGCUGCAUCGUAUCCCGAUAAUGAAGCAGAUGCAGACAGCACAGCAGGAUCUUUGAGGACUGUCCACAGAGCUGGAAGGGCACAUCUGGAAGCAUCUGCUGUGGGUGAAAUGAUGAACUUUUCUUUAUUUCAAGAUGUCAGAUCAGCUCAGAAUUCAUCGACGGUGGAUGAAUCCAAACAUGGGUCACUUGAGAGGAUUUUAUUAGAUCUCACGAUGGAUAAAAGAGGACAUAAGAAGCAGCCAUUGCCUAAAAAGGGGAAUGCGAACGCUACGACUGAUUUUGUUCGACCAGUAGGGGUCUUAUCCACAGACGACAUCUACAAAACUACUGACAAAACAUAUACAGGGAAUGUGACUAAAAUCCUCUAUGGAAUGACAAAAAGAAACCCUAUCGUUUUGGAAAACUGUACCUCUGGCUGUGCUGUAGAUGGAAAUUUAACCAACAUCAAACUCUACCAUUCACCAGACACCAGUAAAUCCACACGUGACCAUGCAAGUGUUGAUGAGACAAUGUCAAAAACGGCCACGAGUCCAUCAGACAACAACACUCGUUUGGAAAGUCACAGGUCACCUCCGUGGACUCAGUUUGUGAAAAGACCAACUCAAAGACACUUUCCCACAGAGAUCCUUGCAACAAAGGCCACUCUCUCUGAACCUGAAACAAUGACUGUCCAGACCCCAAUCAAGUCUACUGAGCAGGCACUGCUGACGGAAAAUCACAGCAAGAAACUAUUGCACAGAGGAGCAGGCGGAGAUGGGAUAUUUGAAGCACAGAGUGUCAGCGGGUCAGCUAAAGCACAGAAGAGAAGUCCACAGGCUCAGAGCAGGUCCUUGCUGUCAGAGCUGAAGCAGAUCUCGCCACAUCUCUACCUUUCAGGUGUUACAGAAGUUUCAGAUGACUCAUGUGGCACUGGAAACUACACAGCAGAAAUGAGUCUGAACCUCGGAAAGAGUGUUGAUCCCGGCGAUGCCCUUCCAACCCAGGGCAGCCUGAAGGUGGUUAUUAACCUGAAGACAAACAACAGUCAAAUAAACCUCGCUGUCACAUCCUGCUGUCUGUCCCCAACCAUUCAGCCUGACCUCACCAACUCUACCUGCUGUCUUUUCUCCAGGUUAGCAUCGCAGCCGACGGGUAUCACUCUGCUCCCCAGUGCCUUGUCGACAACUGCCGGCUUCACCAUCAGUCUCUUUCAAAUGAUUAAUUACUCGCUAGUGUACCUACACUGUGAUCUCAGUGUCUGCCUGAGGAACCGCUCUGACUGUGAAAGGCGAUGCUUUGAGCAGAGGAAGGCGUUUUCCUCCAAGGAUCUACGCGCUAUUGUCACCAAUCUCAGAAAUCGCAUAUCUUUUGGGCCCAUGUUGAAGCAAGCAAAGAAUUCCACCCUCCCAGAGGAGAUAGACCCAUCAGAGCUGGAACUGGUUGUUGUCAUUAUCAGCCUGGUGGCUGGCUCCUCUCUUUUCGCUGUGACGCUGCUUCUGGUUUGGCUGGCCUAUCGUCACAGAGCAAUCUGGCCACUUCAGUCGGCAGCUCCACCUCCAGCAUGCUGCGGCUGUCGACGCCCAGGAGGCGAUUUGAUCGUACCGUGACCAGGGAGGAACUGCUGCCAAUUACCCUGAUCAAGUCUCCACCAAAAUAGCGGCAGACAAUUACAUUAGUCAACAGACAGUGGAGCAGUCAAUCAUAUUUGCCAGUAAGCAGAAGCAGCCAGUUUGAUCGGCCGAUAUAAGAAAGAAUAGACAAUGAGGAGCAAUCCAAUUGACACCUCCUCUUAUAGGUGACACAGCUGUUGCAGUCAAAUUUCACACUUAACCAUGAGCAGUCUAUUAUCAUUCACUAGAAAUAAACAGCAUCUCUAAAUAGAAAGCCUGCACUGAUCCCUUUAUUUCUUCCUCAGUAACACAAAUCAAUGUUUGCUGUAAGCCAC
rnacentral:lncRNA from 1 species